rnacentral:misc_RNA from 1 species
UUAAAUAAAACAUAUAAAUAAGACUGUUUUAAACACGAGUUUGCUGAGAGCAUUGAUGUAGUCACUUAAAAAUUUUGUUUUUUGUUAAAAUGUAGAAUGAGCUGGUGACUCAUAUCAGACACAUGGAGAAUAUGUACAAGCUGGUGUUGAUCGACUUAGUGGGUUUUUAAUUUGAAACCCAGAAUUGUCUGCGAGAAUACCAGAGCCAACUUUUUCAGCAAAAAUGUAGACUCUUCGCAAAAAUGGAUAAAUUAUAUAACAUAAUAGACAUAAUAGACCUUCUAAUUAAGCAAUCAAAAGUGCCUAAGGUUUGUAGAAAAAAACAGGUUAUAUACCUGACAUCAGCUGAGUGUGGGCAGUUGGUUAUAGUGUAAAUCUGUAUGAGUGCAUUAUGUAAUA